rnacentral:rRNA from 1 species
AUGUCCGCCGCCGGCGAAGCCUCCACCACGGUUCUCCGCUUCUUCUCCUUCAUCGGCGCCGGGGUGAUCUGCACCAAGGCCAUCAACAUGUAUCUCGACCACGAGCGCAAGCAGGAGGAGGCGUCCGCCGCGGCUGAGGCAGCAGCGGCCGCAGCCACUUCCGACUCCGCCGUGUUGGUAGCAGCCGACGCGUCUCCCGCGAGCGCCGUCGCCGCCGCAAAGCCCUGA